rnacentral:rRNA from 1 species
GAUGAACGCUGGCGGCGUGCUUAACACAUGCAAGUCGAACGGAAAGGCCCAAGCUUGCUUGGGUACUCGAGUGGCGAACGGGUGAGUAACACGUGGGUGAUCUGCCCUGCACUUCGGGAUAAGCCUGGGAAACUGGGUCUAAUACCGGAUAGGACCACAUUUUGGAUGGUGUGGUGGAAAGUUUUUCGGUGUGGGAUGAGCUCGCGGCCUAUCAGCUUGUUGGUGGGGUAAUGGCCUACCAAGGCGUCGACGGGUAGCCGGCCUGAGAGGGUGUACGGCCAACUUUGGGACUGGGUACCGGCCCGGCCUCCUCCGGGGGGCGGAGGGGGGGAAUUUUGCACAAUGGGGGCAGGCCUAUUGCGGGGCGGCGGCUGGGGGAUGACGGCCUUCGGGUUGUAAACUCCUUUCGCUAGGGACGAAGCGUUUUUGUGACGGUACCUGGAGAAGAAGCACCGGCUAACUACGUG